AGGAGCUGGAAAAUGACAACGUGAUCAGGUGUGAACAGAUGGCAGCUCUCACUGCUUGGCAGGGACUGUGCCUAAUGCUGGGAUUACUGACAUCUGCGUGUCAUUUCAGUGGUAAUUACAGCUGGGACCUGCUAACCCCACUCUGGUUUCCUUUCAUUAUUUUGCAUUUUAAAGAAGAUAAAGAUCCCAGAUAUCAUCAAAGAUACAGGUCUCCAGGAAUGUCUCUAUUUCAGUCUCAGAUAUGAUGAUAUCUCAGCAGUGGCUGGGAACCUCUGUUCUCAUCAGAACACACCAUCAGGGAACAACUGCACUUAGGCUGGCCCUCAAUCCACAGUUAUCUCUUCAAAGUCUUCCUCUGUGCAUUGACAUUUGGUAGCAGAUGCCAAAUUCAGCUUUG
rnacentral:lncRNA from 12 species